UGCCCAGCAACUCCUAUCCCUACCUCCCCGUGGCACCGGCCGGAAACUCUGAACAACCUUAGGGAAGA
rfam:Aedes albopictus isolate Foshan contig42712, whole genome shotgun sequence.